CGUGCCUACGGGGGGCAGCAGUGAGGAAUAUUGGUCAAUGGCCGAGAGGCUGAACCAGCCAAGUCACGUGAGGGAAGAAUGUCCUAUGGAUUGUAAACCUCUUUUGUCAGGGAGCAAAGUCACCCACGUGUGGGUGUUGGAGAGUACCUGAAGAAAAAGCAUCGGCUAACUCUGUGCCAGCAGCCGCGGUAAUACGGAGGAUGCGAGCGUUAUCCGGAUUUAUUGGGUUUAAAGGGUGCGCAGGCGGAGGUGCAAGUCAGCGG
rnacentral:rRNA from 1 species